UCACCAAAACUAAAACUUUGGAACUUCAAUAGCUGUAAGUGUAUUAUGGCAUGUGGAAGCAAGCUUGGAAACUUUUGUGCUGCCAAAAACUGUGCGAAAAUAACCAUCAAUGUUAAAUGUAACAAGCUUGGGCAAGUUGCUUAACAUCCUCGCCAAACUAUAUCUUUCAACUUGUAGACCUUGCAUAGACUUCCCCAAACAU
rnacentral:lncRNA from 1 species